rnacentral:rRNA from 1 species
ACCCCAGGUCAGGCGGGAUCACCCGCUGAGUUUAAGCAUAUCAAUAAGCGGAGGAAAAGAAACUUACGAGGAUUCCCCUAGUAACGGCGAGCGAACCGGGAAUAGCCCAACUUGAGAAUC